rnacentral:tRNA from 1 species
GCCCCUGUAGUUAAAUGGAUAUAACAAACCCCUCCUAAGGGUUAAUUAUCAGUUCAAUUCUGGUCGGGGGCGCCA